rnacentral:rRNA from 1 species
UACAGAGGGUGCGAGCGUUAAUCGGAAUUACUGGGCGUAAAGCGCACGUAGGCGGCUUGGUAUGUCGGGUGUGAAAUCCCCGGGCUCAACCUGGGAACUGCAUCCGAAACUGCCUUGCUCGAGUAUGGGAGAGGGAAGUGGAAUUUCCGGUGUAGCGGUGAAAUGCGUAGAUAUCGGAAGGAACAUCAGUGGCGAAGGCGACUUCCAGGACCAAUACUGACGCUCAGGUGCGAAAGCGUGGGGAGCAAACAGG